rnacentral:lncRNA from 1 species
UCGAAAAUACCCUCAAUUUAUUUAUUUUUUCUGUUCUUCCCUCCCAAGUAAUAAACUUUACUGGGGGUAGUAAUGUGUCCAAGUCGUUAGAUUUACUUGUUCUGCAGCCUAACACAUACUUUACUAGGGGUAGUAAAGUUUCCAGAACCUUAGUUUUUGUUGUUCUGCACCCUAGAACAUACUUUACUAGGGGUAGUAAUGUUUCCAGAGCAUAAAAAAACACAACUAAGAGGGUAGUAAUGUUGUUCUGCACCCAGUAAUAAACUUUACUGGGGGUAGUAAUGUUUCCAAGUCAUCAGAUUUACUUGUUUUGCAGCCUAACACAUACUUUACUAAGGGUAGUAAUGUUUCCAGAGCAUAAAAAAACACAACUAAAGGGGGUAGUAAUGUUGUUCUGCACCCAGUAAUAAACUUUACUGGGGGUAGUAAUGUUUCCAAGUCGUUAGAUGUACUUGUUCUGCAGCCUAACACAUACUUUACUAGGGAUAGUAAAGUUUCUAGAACCUCAGUUUUUGUUGUUUUGCACCGCCAAGGCCAUCGAGGGCGCCUUCACCCCCGGCCAGGUCUGCCUCAUCAUCGAGGACCUCGUCACCAUCGGCGCCUCCGUUCUUGAAACCGCCGCUCCGUGCAGCCGGGUUGAAGGUCUGCGACGCCGUCAUCUCCGAUCGGUUAGACCAGUCGCGCCGCCUCCUAGAGGAUGCGAUUGUCCUCAACCCGUCCGAUCCGUCCAUAUCCAAGCUAGAGCUCGGCGUCUUGGACGACGCCGAUCAGAGGACGAUGGCGAAGACAAUGACCAUGGAGGACGAUUGCAGGGAUGGUGAUGACGAUGGCGAGCUUGGUGUCAAGGCGGAGGCGGUGGGUUAGGCGCGGCACGGUGGCAGACAGAUUCGAGAUCAAUGGCGAAGAGAGAGAGAGAGAGAGAGAGAGAGAGAGAGAGAGAGAGAGAGAGAGAGAGAGAGAGAGAGAGAGAGAGAGAGAG